rnacentral:rRNA from 1 species
UACGAAGGGGGCUAGCGUUGUUCGGAAUUACUGGGCGUAAAGCGCGCGCAGGCGGUUCUUCAAGUCAGUGGUGAAAGCCCGGAGCUCAACUCCGGAACUGCCAUUGAAACUGUAGAACUUGAGGAUGAGAGAGGUGAGUGGAAUUCCCAGUGUAGAGGUGAAAUUCGUAGAUAUUCGCAAGAACACCAGUGGCGAAGGCGGCUCACUGGCCCGGUACUGACGCUGAGGCACGAAAGCGUGGGGAGCAAACAGG